rnacentral:rRNA from 1 species
UACGAGGGGAGCAAGCGUUGUUCGGAUUUACUGGGCGUAAAGGGCGCGUAGGCGGCCACGACAAGUCACUUGUGAAAUCUCCGGGCUUAACUCGGAACGGUCAAGUGAUACUGUCGGGCUAGAGUACAGAAGGGGCAACUGGAAUUCUCGGUGUAGCGGUGAAAUGCGUAGAUAUCGAGAGGAACACCUGUGGCGAAAGCGGCUCACUGGACCACAACUGACGCUGAGGCGCGAAAGCUAAGGGAGCAAACAGG